AGGCCAAAUGCACAAGCUUUAAGCAGAAAUCUAAGUUUCCAGGCAAAGCAAAUGCUGGUGUUUGUUGUUUUAAAGUCGAAUGGCCAGAGCCUUUCUAUUGCCAACAACAGUGUUUUAAAAUUCCUCCUGAUGGACUUAUAUAGUGCCAGCCCUCUCCAUCCCACCACCCCCGCCCAUUCCCCUCCUCCAGCUAUAAGACUGAGAUUAAAGAGCCAAACAGCUAAGAAAUAGUAAACUAAAAAAAAAAAAAAAAAAAAAAAGAAAGAAAGAAAGAAAGAAAAAAAGUAUGUGUGGGGGCUCUAAGACGACAUUUAAAAAGGUUGGCUACAGCAUCUUUUUUGAGGGGGAGGGGAGAGGUACUUUGAGUUGUUCCUGAUUCUUGUUUAGAUCCACCCCCCUCUCUUAGUUCCCCUGCACAUGGGAGCAUGCUUUAGUAAACAUUUCAAAUUUAUCUUUCUAUCUUUUCUCUCUACCUUUUAAAACUGAGAAUAUAGGUGCUUUUGGAAACGAGUACAAUAUUGAGCAUUAUUUGUAAACUGAAGGUCUAAUCUGAGGGAUCAGUUAGAAAUAAGGCAAGAAACAAGGGGCUUGGGGACCUAUCUCUGUGCGACUUAGAAAGUGUCUGUAUGCACAAAGAGAUGACCCUUUACAUUUAUACAUCUUAAACACGCAUAUUACACAUCUGUCUUUUUGUCUAAUACAUUCUUUUGUUCCUGUAACUUCUCUAUCCUAGUGUGUGUUAAGGCUCCAGCACCGGGUGUACACACACACACACACACACACACACAUACACACUCACACACACACACUCACAGAAUGUGACAGACAGCUUUCUUAUGGACAUCAGCACACGUUGCAUAUCCGGGGUCUUCUCCAGGCACAUUGGGGGUCGAUCCGAUAAAAAGACCCAGCAGAGGCCCCUGAGCGCUUGCACAUGAAAGGCAGGGGACUUUAAGAUGGAUUUGCAUGCACACCGGGGAUUUCGAUCAAUAGCUACCAACAUUUAUGGCUUAGAUUAUUAAUGCGAAAGCUGGCCAAAAGAAUAGGGAUGAAAAAUUAAAGGUAUCUGUUAUCAAUUAUGCUUAAAGUUAUGCAAUAAUUUACUUAGUUUGCCUGGAUGUGCAGAUCCAGAUGUAUGAAGUACUAUUCUUCAAAAGCCAGGGGGUUUCUUUGAUAAAUUUGUUGACCAUGUCAGCUGCCUCUGCAAUCAAAGAUGAACCCAAUUCAGAUGAUGGACUGUAUUCAAAUUCUUUUUAAAAGAGGAUAUAUCAACUUCUAUGUUUCUCAAACAUAUAUACAUAUGUAGGGGGAUAUGCUCAAAUGAACAUGUACAUAUAUGUGUGUGUGUGUAAGGCUAGGGGAUAAUUGUGAAUUUAUCACAAUGUGCAUGUGAUGUCCAUUGAGUGUGUUAAUGAGAUGUGGCCAUUUACUCAGGUUGGAAUACAAAUUCUACAGUAUCUUGAAAAGUAUUCUUGCUUUGAAAACAAGGCUGCUUGCUAAAGGAAAAUCCUCUGUAGCAAAUACAGUUUCAAGUGUAUUCUUAAUGUUCACUUAUUUCUACAUUUAUUGUUAAAAAAAAAAGCAGCACUUUCAGUUUUUAAAGUGAUAGACUGUGAUGAUCUGAACAUAUUUGUCUUUACUUAUCCCAUAUGAGUGUGCUAAAUCCACCUUCCGAUGCUCUAUUUUGAUUUAUUUUCACUGUAUUUUAUGUUUAAAUACCAUAGCAAUUCAGUCUGACCUCUUUCCUCUGGAGCGAAGUAAUGCACAAGGCAUUCACAGUCUUUUAAAGGGUUAGCUGGGAAAUGCAACAGCAAGUUUACUAAUGGGGAAAGUUCUUUUGAAAAUCUAAAGGAAAACCUAAGAGUACUUUUGCAUUUCUACACUACAACUGUUAUAUAAUUAAAGUAUUGAAGGGCAUUAAAAUAAUCCUUUUUCAUCCAGGCUCUCCCCCAUACAUACAUAAUUUAAAUGAGGAUCACACACACCACGACCACCACCGGCUAACUCUUCACCAUAUACAUUUGUUUUAGUGAUUGCUGGGUACAUUUUGUUCAAAGUGAAUUCAGACAGAAAAGAGGGAGGAAUAUCACAAAGGGCCCAACAAUGUAGGCACAGUGGUUAGAAGAAUAAGAGACAUCUCUUAAACUGUUAACUAAAGUCUAAUAAUAAUGAUAAUAAUAAUAUAAGUUUAAAAUAAUAGUCUCAUAUGGCUGAAUAGGUUGAAGAGUUAGGACAAAACAGACUAAACAGCUCUUUAGCUAAACUUUUCUGACAUACUGUCUUCUCUCCUUUUUUGGAGGUGAAAAUGGUAAGAGGAGAAGAAUAAUUAGCUAAAAUGAGGAAUAAACUAUAACUUAGC
rnacentral:lncRNA from 1 species